rnacentral:tRNA from 1 species
GAGCGGGUGGGCGUCGGCGUUCCGGCGCGUUUCGAGCGCGGCGAGCGCCCGGUGGAUCGGCAGGUACGCGUCGAUCGCGCUGACGCCCGCGUACC